UAACCAUGCAAGUCGAGCGGUUGAAGGAAGCUUGCUUCCUGAUUCAGCGGCGGACGGGUGAGUAAUGCCUAGGAAUCUGCCUGGUAGUGGGGGACAACGUUUCGAAAGGAACGCUAAUACCGCAUACGUCCUACGGGAGAAAGCAGGGGACCUUCGGGCCUUGCGCUAUCAGAUGAGCCUAGGUCGGAUUAGCUAGUUGGUGAGGUAAUGGCUCACCAAGGCGACGAUCCGUAACUGGUCUGAGAGGAUGAUCAGUCACACUGGAACUGAGACACGGUCCAGACUCCUACGGGAGGCAGCAGUGGGGAAUAUUGGACAAUGGGCGAAAGCCUGAUCCAGCCAUACCGCGUGUGUGAAGAAGGUCUUCGGAUUGUAAAGCACUUUAAGUUGGGAGGAAGGGCAGUCAGCGAAUACCUUGCUGUCUUGACGUUACCGACAGAAUAAGCACCGGCUAACUCUGUGCCAGCAACCGCGGUAAU
rnacentral:rRNA from 1 species